UGGGGAAUAUUGCACAAUGGGCGCAAGACUGAUGCAGCCAUGCCGCGUGUGUGAAGAAGGCCUUCGGGUUGUAAAGCACUUUCAGCGGGGAGGAAGGCGGUGAGGUUAAUAACCUCAUCGAUUGACGUUACCCGCAGAAGAAGCACCGGCUAACUCCGUGCCAGCAGCCGCGGUAAUACGGAGGGUGCAAGCGUUAAUCGGAAUUACUGGGCGUAAAGCGCACGCAGGCGGUUUGUUAAGUCAGAUGUGAAAUCCCCGGGCUCAACCUGGGAACUGCAUCUGAUACUGGCAAGCUUGAGUCUCGUAGAGGGGGGUAGAAUUCCAGGUGUAGCGGUGAAAUGCGUAGAGAUCUGGAGGAAUACCGGUGGCGAAGGCGGCCCCCUGGACGAAGACUGACGCUCAGGUGCGAAAGCGUGGGGAGCAAACAGG
rnacentral:rRNA from 1 species